CAGCAGCCGCGGUAAUACGAAGGGGGCUAGCGUUGCUCGGAAUUACUGGGCGUAAAGGGAGCGUAGGCGGAUCGUUAAGUUGGGGGUGAAAGCCCGGGGCUCAACCUCGGAACUGCCUUCAAUACUGGCGAUCUUGAGUAUGAGAGAGGUGUGUGGAACUCCGAGUGUAGAGGUGAAAUUCGUAGAUAUUCGGAAGAACACCAGUGGCGAAGGCGACACACUGGCUCAUUACUGACGCUGAGGCUCGAAAGCGUGGGGAGCAAACAGGAUUAGAUACCCCUGUAGUCCCUGUCUCUUAUAC
rnacentral:rRNA from 1 species